UGGGGAAUUUUGGACAAUGGGGGAAACCCUGAUCCAGCCAUCCCGCGUGUGCGAUGAAGGCCUUCGGGUUGUAAAGCACUUUUGGCAGGAAAGAAACGUCGCGGGUUAAUACCCCGCGAAACUGACGGUACCUGCAGAAUAAGCACCGGCUAACUACGUGCCAGCAGCCGCGGUAAUACGUAGGGUGCAAGCGUUAAUUGGGAAUUACUGGGCGUAAAGCGUGCGCAGGCGGUUCGGAAAGAAAAGAUGUGAAAUCCCCAGAGCUUAACUUUGGAACUGCAUUUUUAACUACCGGGCUAGAGUGUGUCAGAGGGAGGUGGAAUUCCGCGUGUAGCAGUGAAAUGCGUAGAUAUGCGGAGGAACACCGAUGGCGAAGGCAGCCUCCUGGGAUAACACUGACGCUCAUGCACGAAAGCGUGGGGAGCAAACAGGAUUAGAUACCCUGGUAGUCCACGCCCUAAACGAUGUCAACUAGCUGUUGGGGCCUUCGGGCCUUGGUAGCGCAGCUAACGCGUGAAGUUGACCGCCUGGGGAGUACGGUCGCAAGAUU
rnacentral:rRNA from 1 species